UAACACGUAGGAACGUACCCCAAAGUGAGGGAUAAGCACCAGAAAUGGUGUCUAAUACCGCAUGUGCUCUAAGGAGUAAAGCUUUACGCGCUUUGGGAACGGCCUGCGCAUGAUUAGCUUGUUGGUGAGGUAAAAGCUCACCAAGGCGACGAUCAUUAGCUGGUCUGAGAGGAUGAUCAGCCAGACUGGGACUGAGACACGGCCCAG
rnacentral:rRNA from 1 species